rnacentral:rRNA from 1 species
GCGUGAACGAAGAAGUCCUUCGGGAUGUAAAGUUCUUUUAAAUGGGAAGAAGACAGUGACGGUACCAAUUGAAUAAGCCCCGGCUAACUACGUGCCAGCAGCCGCGGUAAGACGUAGGGGGCAAGCGUUACCCGGAAUCACUGGGCGUAAAGGGAGCGUAGGCGGUUAUGCAGGUCAUACGUUAAAGCAUUCGGCUCAACCGAAGAGAUGCGUAUGAAACCGUAUAACUUGAGGAUAUCAGAGGAAAAGGGAAUUACCAUUGUAGGGGUGAAAUCCGUAGAGAGUGGUAAGAAUGCCGGUGGCGAAGGCGCUUUUCCGGGGUAUACCUGACGCUGAGGCUCGAAAGCCAGGGGAGCGAACCGGAUUAGAUACCCGGGUAGUCCUGGCCGUAAACGAUGUUCACUAGGUGUAGGAUGUCGACAGGCAAACUGUGCUGAAGCAAACGCGAUAAGUGAACCGCCUGGGGAGUACGUCCGCAAGGAUGAAACUCAAAGGAAUUGACGGGGGCCCGCACAAGCGGUGGAGCGUGUGGUUUAAUUCGAAGCUAAGCGAAGAACCUCACCAGGUCUUGACAUAUAGGUGGUAGGGAAGCGAAAGCGGACCGACUUUGGUUUACCAAAGAGCCUAUACAGGUGGUGCAUGGUCGUCGUCAGCUCGUGCCGUGAGGUGUUGGGUUAAGUCCCGCAACGAGCGCAACCCU